rnacentral:rRNA from 1 species
GGUGAACGCUGGCGGCGUGCCUAAUACAUGCAAGUCGAGCGAACAGACGAGGAGCUUGCUCCUCUGCCGUUAGCGGCGGACGGGUGAGUAACACGUGGAUAACCUACCUAUAAGACUGGGAUAACUUCGGGAAACCGGAGCUAAUACCGGAUAAUAUAUUGAACCGCAUGGUUCAAUAGUGAAUGACGGUUUUGCUGUCACUUAUAGAUGGAUCCGCGCCGCAUUAGCUAGUUGGUAAGGUAACGGCUUACCAAGGCAACGAUGCGUAGCCGACCUGAGAGGGUGAUCGGCCACACUGGAACUGAGACACGGUCCAGACUCCUACGGGAGGCAGCAGUAGGGAAUCUUCGACAAUGGGCGAAAGCCUGACCGAGCAACGCCGCGUGAGUGAAGAAGGUCUUCGGAUCGUAAAACUCUGUUAUUAGGGAAGAACAGAUGUGUAAGUAACCAUGCACGUCUUGACGGUACCUAAUCAGAAAGCCACGGCUAACUACGUG